rnacentral:rRNA from 1 species
AUUGAACGCUGGCGGCAUGCCUAACACAUGCAAGUCGAGCGGAGCGGCCGACGGGCGAGUAAUUCCUAGGAAUCUGCCCGGUAGUUGGGGAUAACGUCCGGAAACGGGCGCUAAUACCGCAUAGUAUCAGAUGAGACUAGGUCGGAUUAGCUAGUUGGUGGGGUAAAGGCCUACCAAGGCGACGAUCCAUAACUGGUCUGAGCGGAUGACCAGCCACAUUGGAACUGAGACACGGUCCAGACUCCUACGGGAGGCAGCAGUGGGGAAUAUUGGGCAAUGGGCGAAAGCCUGAUCCAGCCACGCCGCGUGUGUGAAGAAGGUCUUCGGAUUGUAAAGCUCUUUUAGUUGGGAGGCGUUACCAACAGAGAAAGCACCGGCUAACUUCGUGCCAGCAGCCGCGGUAAUUC